GGGAUUCUUUGGGAAUAAACCAAAUGCAAUCAUUUCUCUGUCUCUUAGCCACUGUAAGUUCAUGGCUCAUCAUGCUACAAUCAUGAUUCAAAAUUUUAAAAAUUUCAACAAAACAUCUUAACAAAUCCUAUAAUUUAUUUAAAUAAUUAAAAAUUUAAAAGAAAAAAAAAACUAAAUAUCAAAAUAAAUAUUUGAAAUUUUGAAUUAAAUCCCAACCGUUAUCUCUCUCUUCUAGCAGGUGGUCUAUCCUUUAGAUGUUUCUUACACAUCAAAUUCAAGAUUCAAAAGGUGGUUCUAUGUUAACUACAACUUCACACUGGCAUUCUUUUGGUGACCUCAUUUGGUUAAAGCCAUUGACACAGAUCCCGGUUAAAGCCAUUGACACAGAUCCUAAUGGCCCAACCAACAAUCGCCUCAUGAAACUUUACUUAGAUGAGGCAAAUGAUGUCUGGGCAUCUCAAGUUGAAGCUUUUGACUAUGUCAUCAUCUCAGCUGGAAGAUGGUUCUAUGAACCACAGGUGUUCUUUGAAAAUGACAAGGUUGUUGGUUGCCAUUUAUGCCUCAAUAACAAAAUCAAAAACCUUACUAUGUUAUAUGGAUACAGAAUUUUAAUGGGGUGACAAUUUUGAGGACAUUAUCACCUGCGCGCACAUUUUGAGAAUAGGGAAUGGAACAAAGGCAGUUGCAAGAGGAGAAAUGAAAUUGGAUGGGGAUGAUUUGAAGCUAUAUUCAACUCAAGUGGAGGAGCUAAGGAGAGCAGAAAGGGAAGGGAAGAAGAGAGGCUUGAAGUUUAGAUUGCUAGACAUAAAUGAAGCAAUGGUUGUGAAGCCAGAUGGACACCCUAACCAUUAUGUGCAUUGGCCAAAUGAGAAUGUGACCAUUUCUGAUUGUGUGCAUUGGUGCUUGCCAGGUCCUGUUGAUAAAGAUGGAAAGCUAUUGAGAGGACAUUUGAUUUCUAAGAUUAUGCUAGCCCAAACCUUUGUUGCAGAAGUUUUCUUUCUGUGAGAAAUUUUUAGAUUUAAUUGCUGCCAUUAGGCUAUGACUGUGUUUCAAUCUUGUGAUGAAAGUUGAAUUAUAAAAAGCAUAUGAUGUAAGUGAUUGAAUAUCAUUUUAGCAAAGAUAGUACUUGAAUGGAACAGAGUAAUUCUCUGUUCAAAUUAAGUUUCUUGGCUUUUCCAAAUGCAGAAAAGUCCAUUAACAAGUGCAGUUCUCAAAGAGACUCUUCAAGUGUUUAUACUCUAGAAGAUUCAAUUAAAAGGUUAGAAAUUUUCUGAUAAGACCAAGUUAGCCUGGUAAGAUGAAGAAUAUGAUAGCAUUAGAGCACACUUAGAUGUAAUAAUAUAAGGUCCCCACCACUCAAAUACCUCUAUUUUAUACUUAUAUACUGGAAUUAUGGUGUUCCCAAGUGCGUUAGGAAUCAUUUUGCUUUGCACAUGAAAUAUUAGAACACAAUCGUUUUAUAUAAAGAAAGAUUAAUCAGACUUCCCAAUUCUAAGGGAAAAAUAAAAAAAAAAAGAAUUGCAAGAGAAUACACGGUAAGACUGUUGAUUUUUGACAGGGAAAAUACAGGGCCCAAGGAUUUGCCGAGCAAAAGUGAUAUAUUGAAGCCGACCAGCCAAUAGAUGGAUCGACAUGAAUGCAAAUAAAUUUGAAAUCUCUAGCAUUUUUCUUUGAAAUAUCCCUUUCCUUCAGCAGUGUAGUUACAUUUAGUAUUAUAUCAAGUAGGUCUUGCGGCUGCUGUCUACUGAAGCAUAAGUUUAGCAAACAACCUUGAGUAGCCAGUGCCUCUUUAGUUUGGUCUAUUGAUAACAUUUCUAACAUUUUGAUGUACCAAAAUUUAGUAAGUUUGGUGGGGCAGAAAUAUUUGAUCUUAGCUAAAUUAUCAAGUAAUAAUAAGUAUUAUUUGACAUUAACCAGACUCGCAAGACUCUUCAAUUUUAGUGCAAAACGAUACAAAUGAGCAUUCGACAUUCUAUCAAAUCACCUUAUAAAAUUUCACAAGAAUUUUAUUUAAAUUUUUCUUAAAAGAAAAUCAAUCAAACGGGGGUUUGUCAAAAGCAGAAGGAGAUUAACCUUCUUUUCUAGAAAAAGAAAAAUGGAAAAGAAGAGGGUAAGGAACCAUAUUCACACAUGUGGAAAAUUUCGGGUCAUCAGUUCAAUUGCUUUCCUCCUAAGCCACGCCAUUGUCAUUUAGCACUAACCCAUCUACUUACAUCUCAAGAUACCCAACCACCAUGAACUGUCUCAAGGUAUUCAUCAACUCUAUGAUUGCUGAAUACUGUUUUCUGCAAGAAAAGUAUAUCAAUACUUCUCUGAUUAAUCAUACUUUUCAACGAUUUAUUGAAUUUGAACUGAUACUAAUUGUAUACUAACAGACCAUUAUGUGUAUGUCAAGCAACAAUUUUUUUUUUUUUGGGCAUUGAGAGUUUCUGCAUUACGAGAUCAAACACUCGAGCCCUGGAGUGUGCUACUAGUAAAAGACGAAACAGGCAAUAAUGAAAGUAUUAUACUACCAAAAACUCUAAUUUACUAAGGAGUCAUGAUGACUUACCAAACAAUAAAGGUGACUAGAGUUGGAGGAUUUAGCUGGUGCACACAAACCUCGCCUCUUGAGAGCUGCCUAAUCAACCAAAAAGAGCUGUUUCAAAUUAAUUAGAAUGGUCAUAGCAUCCAUGUUCAAAUUACACAACUAAAUCACAUCAUUACUUGCACCUGUAUAAAAUUGCACCAACUGCUAAGUUUACUUCAAUCACCCUCCACCAUGAAGUUUCAAGCCACUGAACUUUCCAGUGGGAAGAGCUCC
rnacentral:lncRNA from 1 species